UUGACCUCGGAUCAGGUAGGGAUACCCGCUGAACUUAAGCAUAUCAAUAGGCGGAGGAUUCCC
rnacentral:rRNA from 1 species